GACGAACGCUGGCGGCGUGCUUAACACAUGCAAGUCGAACGGAAAGGCCUGCUUUCCCUUGUGGAUUGCGGGUACUCGAGUGGCGAACGGGUGAGUAACACGUGAGUGAUCUGCCCCCAACUUGGGUAUAAGCCUGGGAAACUGGGUCUAAUUCCCGAUAGGACUGCAGGGUGGUGCCUGUGGUGGAAAACGAUUUUCUAGUGGUUGGGGAUGAGCUCACGGCCUAUCAGCUUGUUGGUGGGGUAAUGGCCUACCAAGGCGGCGACGGGUAGCCGGCCUGAGAGGGUGGACGGCCACAUUGGGACUGAGAUACGGCCCAGACUCCUACGGGAGGCAGCAGUGGGGAAUAUGGCACAAUGGGCGGAAGCCUGAUGCAGCGACGCCGCGUGGGGGAUGACGGCCUUCGGGUUGUAAACUCCUUUCGACCGCGAGGAAGCCACCUGGUUGGAAGGGUGGUGACGGUAGUGGUAGAAGAAGCACCGGCUAACUACGUG
rnacentral:rRNA from 1 species